CAUGUUUUGGAGAGAAAUAUUUAUUUAAUGUCAAGAUUUAUUUUUUCUUUCAAUAAUUUUACUUCAAUGAAAAGGUAAGAGUUUUGUGAAUAUUUUGAGUGAAAGACCAAGAGGAUAAACAGCAGACAUUUUUUUAUAGCCUGUUUUGCUCAUAUUCACUAAGGGUGGCAAUAAUUCUGGAGGGCACUGUACCUGUAAGAACCCAACCCAUGACCCAAAAGUCAAAUUCAGAAGAAAUGCUUGUAGACGCACACAACUAAUUAUGUGGCGCAGAGGAAGGAGUAAAGCCCUUUGUCUAGACAUGCACAAAAAUGACUGUGUCAAUCUCAUGUUUGUUCCCAAAAAGCUUUAUUUUGGUCUCAUCUGACCAUAUUACCCGGUCCCAUUGAAAGUCCCAGUAACAUCUGGCAAACUGUAGGCGCUUUAGUUUGUUGUUGAUUGACAGCAGAGGCUUUUUUCUGGCAACCCUCCCAACAACUUGUGGUCAAAAAUGUAAAACAUGACUGGAAAUAUACUUCAGUUAGAUUUUAAUUAUAAAAUUUUCUAGGGGUGCCAAUAAUUGUGGCACGCAUGUUUUGGAGAGAAAUAUUAUUUAAUGUCAAGAUUUAUUUUUUCUUUCAAUAAUUUUACUUCAAUGAAAAGGUAAGAUUUUUGUGAAUAUUUUGAGUGAAAGACCAAGAGGAUAAACAGCAGACAUUUUUUUAUAGCCUGUUUUGCUCAUAUUCACUAAGGGUGCCAAUAAUUCUGGAGGGCACUGUACCUGUAAGAACCCAACCCAUGACCCAAAAGUCAAAUUCAGAAGAAAUGCUUGUAGACGCACACAACUAAUUAUGUGCCGCAGAGGAAUGAGUAAAGCCCUUUGUCUAGACAUGCACAAAAAGUGCAGUUUGAAUGGAUGUGUGAAUCAGCAGAUCAAACACAAAGUGAAAUAUCUGAAAUGGGGGUUUGUAAAUAUACAUGAAUACCAUGUUAUGGGACCAAUGCAUAAAUUACACUGGAAUAUAUCUAUAUCAGAUGUAUGUACACAAAUAAUUGUGUUGUACUCACACUGGCAUGACUUAUCUGAUGCCAACGCCAAAAACAGAAUUCAGUCACAUUUACCAUUCAGUGUAACCAUAGCCUUUGACUGUUGCCAAAACCUCCUCCGGGUUGGUCUAUCUAUGCACACACAUAUCAUUAUUUCAUUAACCUACUUCCCAUAAAACACUGCUUUGGUAACUUCAGGAAUAAAUAUCUUCUUUUGAGCUAUGAUGUGGUCA
rnacentral:lncRNA from 1 species